rnacentral:rRNA from 1 species
CCUCAGUCGGCGAGCCAGCGGCAAGAGCUCAGAUUUGAAAUCUCACCUAGUGUGCGAGUUGUAAAUUGCAGGUUGGAGUCUCGGGUUAGACGUGUGUGCAAGUCCCUUGGAACAGGGUGCCACUGAGGGUGAGAGCCCCGUAUCGUGCAUGUCGACACCUGUGAGGCCCUUCUGACGAGUCGAGUUGUUUGGGAAUGCAGCUCUAAGUGGGUGGUAAAUUCCAUCUAAGGCUAAAUAUUGGCGAGAGACCGAUAGCGAACAAGUACUGUGAAGGAAAGAUGAAAAGCACUUUGAAAAGAGAGUGAAACAGCACGUGAAAUUGUUGAAAGGGAAGGGUAUUGGGCUCGACAUGGGAUUUACGCAUCGUUGCCUCUUGUGGGCGGCGCUCUGGGUUUUUCCUGGGCCAGCAUCGGUUUUCGUUGCAGGAUAAGGACAAUUGGAAUGUGGCUCCUCGGAGUGUUAUAGCCUUUUGUAGAU